GCUAGCUCUUAUAGGAGGCAAGAUGGAAAAGUUGAUGGAAAGCUCAGUAUCAAGGUAUUACAAAUACCUCGCCUCUUUUCUUAGAUUUGAAAUAUAUUGUAUCCAUGAAAAAUGAUUUCUGGAAGGUUAUAUCCACUUAGAUCAGCUAAUUUCUGUUAUCAGGUUUUUGUGGUUGCACACAUCAAAGAUUCAGGAAUAUGAUAUGAAAUAUUUCCUAGACAUUGCACUGUUCUGAACAUUACAUAUAAUAAGAUGCUGGCACUGCAUCUGGGAGCUUAAUAUUUAAGUUGGACACACUAAUGCAACAGACACAAGACAUACAGAAAUAGACCUCUCUAUAAACAUGGGCAUUUUUAAUAAAAAAAUGUACAUAGGUAAGAAAAGUAAGUGUAGAAGAAAGAGGAACACGUCCAUCUGAGUUAACAUUCAACUACCAAGGAAGGUAUAUACCAUCUUCAGCCAGAGAUAAUAGAAUGCUUCAACAAUGCUCUGCAGCAAAAACCAAUAUAAUGUGUAAGACUAGUUCUAAUUCUGAGGUAUGUGGAUUUCAGAGGGUUUGUGAAUCUCCUGAAAACUGCAUGCAAAAUUGUCUUAUGUAUAGAUACAAAUUUUUCGGAGGCCAGCAAGGGUCUAUAGCUUUCAACAAAUUUUUAAGAGUAUGUAAUUCUCAAAUAAACUUUAAAGAGCCACAAAUUCAAGGCAUUAUAAAACCAAUUCCAAAUAUUUAAAAAAAAAAAAAAAAUCAGGCUGGGUGCGGUGGCUCAUGCCUGUAAUCCCAGCACUUUGGGAGGCCAAGGCAGAUGGAUAACUUGAUGCCAGGAGUUUGAGACCAGCCUGACCAACAUGGCGAAACCCCGUCUCUACUAAAAAUACAAAACUUAGCCAGCAUGGUGGCAUAUGCCUAUAAUCCCAGCUACUCAGGAGGUUGAGGCAUGAGGAUCACUUGAACCCUGGAGGUGGAGGCUGCAGUGUGCCAAGAUCUCACAACUGCAUUCCAGCCUGGGUGACACCAAAAAAAUCAGUGUUGCAUAUGGAAACUAAAAAAAAAGAAAGUUAUGUAAUAAGAUGUGGUACAGAAAGGUAAGACCAAAGAACACCUUUCUUAUUAUGAUAAUUAAAUUUCUGACUCUGGUCCCAGAAUAAUAAAAUAUCAAAUAUCAAAAGCUUAUGUACCAUGAUUUUGCUUCCUCUAUAAGUGGCACAUCUUUAUUGUCCAUUAUAUUUUGUCCAAAGAACUAAAGGAUCUGCAGCCUCUAGCUUGACAUACUUUGCAUUAUCAGGAUCAGAAAAUAAAAUAAUUCCUUAAGUCACAAGCUUCCCUGGGCAGUUUUACUACUACUCUUCUGCACAACACAUUAAAGGCAUUUUAUGCAAUUGUUCAGCAGCAAAAGCAAAGUUUACAUGUUACAUCUUUUUUUUUUUUUUCUUUUUUUUUUUUGAGACAGAGUCUUGCUCUGUCGCCACCCAGGCUGGAGUACAGUGGCUUACACCUGUAAUGCCAGCACUUUGGGAGGCCAAGGCAGGUGGAUCAUUUGAGGUCAGGAGUUCCAGACCUGCCUGGCCAACAUGGUGAAACCCCAUCUCUACUAAAAAUACAAAAAUUAGCAGCGUGUAGUGGAUACAUGCCUGUAAUCCCAGCUACUUGGGAGGCUGGGGCAGGAGAACUGCUUGAACCCUGGAGGCGGAGGUUGCAGCGAGCUGAGAUCAUGCCACUGCACUCCAGCCAGGGCGACAGAGUGACGCUCCAUCUCAAAAUAAAGAAAUGAAAUGAAAUGAAAUGAAAAGGAAAGAAAGAAAAAAGAAAGAAAGAAAGAAAGGGAAAGAAAGAAAAGAAAGGAAGGGAGGAAGGAAGGAAAGAAGGAAGGAAGGAAAGACAGACAUCUAAGAUAUAUCAAAUGUAUCUGUGGGUACAAGAGGGUAGGUGCGGCACAGAGGGAGUGGGAAAAUCACUAUAAAGGGUAAAAGUAGCAAAAUACAAUGAGAGGGGCCUUGUGCAGCCCAUAUGUAAUAAUGUGCUAAGAAGUGAUUAGAAAUUUUGAAUCACUCAACUCCCUAUACCUGAGGCCCCCCUUUAAAAAGCUCACCCUUCUUAUAUAUGAAGAAACCAAGACACUAAGUUAUAAUAAUAUAAAUUAAGCUACCAAUGACAAAGUGCUCAGUCAGCCUUCUAUUGAUUUUUUUGUUUUUUGAGACGGAGUCUCCCUCUGUAGCCUAGGCUGGAGUGCAGUGGCGAGAUCUCGGCUCACCUCAAUCUCCACCUCCUGGGUCCUGGUUCAAGCAAAUCUCCUGCCUCAGCCUCCCAAGUAGCUGGGAUUACAGGCACGCGCCACCAUGCCCAG
rnacentral:lncRNA from 1 species